rnacentral:rRNA from 1 species
GUGCAGCAGUCGCGCAACCUCUGCAAUACGCGAAAGCGCGACAGGGCUACCCCGAGUGCCGUCCGCUGAGGAUGGCUUUUCUCCGGUGUAGUAAGCCGGAGGAAUAAGGAGAGGGCAAGUCUGGUGUCAGCCGCCGCGGUAAUACCAGCUCUCCGAGUGGUAGGGACGAUUAUUGGGCCUAAAGCGUCCGUAGCCGGCCAAGCAAGUUUCCCGGUAAAUCCAGCCAUCCAAUCGUUGGACUGCGGGAAAUACUGGUUGGCUAGGGGGUGAGAGAGGCCAACGGUAUUCCCGGGGUAGGGGUGAAAUCCCAUAAUCCCGGGAGGACCACCAGUGGCGAAGGCUGUUCGCUAGAACGCGCUCGACAGUCAGGGAUGAAAGCCGGGGGAGCGAACCGGAUUAGAUACCCCGGUAGUCC